AGUAAGAAAUGGUGUGUAGGAAAAUGACCUAUGAAUUGACAGACAUUAUAUUUAAAGUUUGUCUGUCAUUUCUGUAGGCCAAUGCCUUGUAUGUCUGUGCUGCUUC
rnacentral:pre_miRNA from 15 species